rnacentral:rRNA from 2 species
CUGAGCGGCGGACGGGUGAGUAACGCGUGGGUAACCUGCCUCAUACAGGGGGAUAACAGUUAGAAAUGACUGCUAAUACCGCAUAAGACCACGGUACCGCAUGGUACAGUGGUAAAAACUCCGGUGGUAUGAGAUGGACCCGCGUCUGAUUAGGUAGUUGGUGGGGUAACGGCCUACCAAGCCGACGAUCAGUAGCCGACCUGAGAGGGUGACCGGCCACAUUGGGACUGAGACACGGCCCAG